rnacentral:rRNA from 1 species
UUGCCCAAGCCACACCCCCACGGGCCUACAGCAGUGAUUAAUAUUAAACAUAAGCGAAAGCUUGAUUUAGUUAUAGUAACACAAAGGGCCGGUAAAUUUCGUGCCAGCCACCGCGGUUAUACGAAAGACCCAAAAUAACGGCCCCCGGCGUAAAGCGUAGCUAGAAAUUAUAAACUAAGGACAAACACCUUCUCCGCUGUGAAACGCUCAAGAAGACAAGAAUAUUAUUAACCUUAUAACCAUUUGACGCUACGAAAGCUGAGGCACAAACUGGGAUUAGAUACCCCACUAUGCUCAGCCAUAAACUUAGAUAGCAAAAUACUACCUAUCCGCCAGAGAACUACAAGCAAAAUACUUAAAACUCAAAGGACUUGGCGGCAUUCCAUAUCAACCUAGAGGAGCCCGUCCAGUAAUCGAUAAUACGCGCUCAACCCAACCAUUUUUGGCCACUCCAGCCUAUAUACCGCCGUCGUCAGCUAACCUUGUGAAAGAAAAGUAGUAAGCACAACAGUUCUCACUCAAACGUCAGGUCAAGGUGUAGCUAAUAAAAUGGAUGAGAUAGGCUACAUUUUCUACUAUAGAAAAAACGGAAAAUACAAUGAAACCUUGUAAUAGAAGGUGAAUUUAGAAGUAAAUUAAGAAAGGAUCCUUAUUUAACAUCGCCCUGGAAUGCGCACACA